AUCGUUGCUCGAAACUCAUUCUUGUGAAGACGUUGACCUUCUUGAGCUAAUGUCAACUGCUGUAAAUUUUCCUUCAAGUCCUGGAUUUGAAGAAGAAUUUGAGCCACAUGUUUCUUGUUUUCUUCAAAAUUUCUCAAGGAAAUUGAGAAGUGUGGAAGACGGAAAA